GACGAACCGUGCGAACGUUGUUCGGAAUCACUGGGCUUAAAGGGCGCGUAGGCGGCUGCGCAAGUCCGGGGUGAAAGCCCCCAGCUCAACUGGGGAAGUGCCUUGGAUACUGUGCAGCUCGAGCGAGGUAGGGGUCGUGGGAACUUCCGGUGGAGCGGUGAAAUGCGUUGAUAUCGGAAGGAACGCCGGUGGCGAAAGCGCACGACUGGACCUUUUCUGACGCUGAGGCGCGGAAGCCAGGGGAGCAAACGGG
rnacentral:rRNA from 1 species